rnacentral:rRNA from 1 species
UACGAAGGGGGCAAGCGUUGCUCGGAAUCACUGGGCGUAAAGGGCGCGUAGGCGGGAUGGCAAGUCGGUCGUGAAAUCCUUCGGCCCAACCGAAGAACGUCGGCCGAUACUGCCGUUCUUGAGGGAUGCAGAGGAGACUGGAAUUCCCGGUGUAGCGGUGAAAUGUGUAGAGAUCGGGAGGAACACCGGUGGCGAAGGCGGGUCUCUGGGCAUUUCCUGACGCUGAGGCGCGAAAGCGUGGGGAGCAAACAGG